ensembl:miRNA Mir16-1 microRNA 16-1
AUGUCAGCGGUGCCUUAGCAGCACGUAAAUAUUGGCGUUAAGAUUCUGAAAUUACCUCCAGUAUUGACUGUGCUGCUGAAGUAAGGUUGGCAA